CUUCAGCGAGCCGAGGUAGGCCGGGCGGCCGUCCGGGCGGCCCUGGCCGUAGGUGGCGAGCACCGCCUGCGCCUC
rnacentral:antisense_RNA from 1 species